rnacentral:rRNA from 1 species
UAGGGAAUCUUCGGCAAUGGGGGCAACCCUGACCGAGCAACGCCGCGUGAGUGAAGAAGGUUUUCGGAUCGUAAAACUCUGUUGUAAGUCAAGAACGAGUGUGAGAGUGGAAAGUUCACACUGUGACGGUAGCUUACCAGAAAGGGACGGCUAACUACGUGCCAGCAGCCGCGGUAAUACGUAGGUCCCGAGCGUUGUCCGGAUUUAUUGGGCGUAAAGCGAGCGCAGGCGGUUUGAUAAGUCUGAAGUUAAAGGCUGUGGCUCAACCAUAGUUCGCUUUGGAAACUGUCAAACUUGAGUGCAGAAGGGGAGAGUGGAAUUCCAUGUGUAGCGGUGAAAUGCGUAGAUAUAUGGAGGAACACCGGUGGCGAAAGCGGCUCUCUGGUCUGUAACUGACGCUGAGGCUCGAAAGCGUGGGGAGCGAACAGGAUUAGAUACCCUGGUAGUCCACGCCGUAAACGAUGAGUGCUAGGUGUUGGAUCCUUUCCGGGAUUCAGUGCCGCAGCUAACGCAUUAAGCACUCCGCCUGGGGAGUACNACCGCAAGGNUG